CAACUUGAGAGUUUGAUCCUGGCUCAGAACGAACGCUGGCGGCAGGCUUAACACAUGCAAGUCGAGCGCCCCGCAAGGGGAGCGGCAGACGGGUGAGUAACGCGUGGGAACGUACCUUUUGCUACGGAAUAACUCAGGGAAACUUGUGCUAAUACCGUAUGUGCCCGAAAGGGGAAAGAUUUAUCGGCAAAGGAUCGGCCCGCGUUGGAUUAGCUAGUUGGUGAGGUAAAGGCUCACCAAGGCGACGAUCCAUAGCUGGUCUGAGAGGAUGAUCAGCCACACUGGGACUGAGACACGGCCCAGACUCCUACGGGAGGCAGCAGUGGGGAAUAUUGGACAAUGGGCGCAAGCCUGAUCCAGCCAUGCCGCGUGAGUGAUGAAGGCCCUAGGGUUGUAAAGCUCUUUCACCGGUGAAGAUAAUGACGGUAACCGGAGAAGAAGCCCCGGCUAACUUCGUGCCAGCAGCCGCGGUAAUACGAAGGGGGCUAGCGUUGUUCGGAUUUACUGGGCGUAAAGCGCACGUAGGCGGACUUUUAAGUCAGGGGUGAAAUCCCGGGGCUCAACCCCGGAACUGCCUUUGAUACUGGAAGUCUUGAGUAUGGUAGAGGUGAGUGGAAUUCCGAGUGUAGAGGUGAAAUUCGUAGAUAUUCGGAGGAACACCAGUGGCGAAGGCGGCUCACUGGACCAUUACUGACGCUGAGGUGCGAAAGCGUGGGGAGCAAA
rnacentral:rRNA from 1 species